UGGAAGGAAAAAAGAGAAGAGGAAGACCAAAGAAAAGGUGGAUUGCGUGAAAGAGGGUAUGUGUGUAAAAGGGAUGGAAAAUACGUUGACGUAUGACAGAAGGGAGAGGAAGAAAAAGACAUGUUGUGCUGACCCCACAUAGCGUAGGAUAAAUGACAAGAAGAAUAAUUUAAAAUAAGGAGCUAAAAU